CACGUAGGGCGCAAGCGUUGUCCGGAAUUAUUGGGCGUAAAGAGCUCGUAGGCGGACUGUCACGUCCGCUGUGAAAAGCUAGGGCUUAACCCUGGCCUUGCAGUGGAUACGGGCAGACUAGAGGUAGGUAGGGGAGAAUGGAAUUCCCGGUGUAGCGGUGAAAUGCGCAGAUAUCGGGAGGAACACCGGUGGCGAAGGCGGCAUCCUGGACCGACACUGACGCUGAGGAGCGAAAGCCAGGGGAGCAAACGGG
rnacentral:rRNA from 1 species